UCUCUCCUCUUCCCCUCUCUCUCUCCUUCCCUCCCUCCCUCCCUCCCCCCUCUCUCCCAGCAAGAAACACUGAAAAGGGUUGACCUUAACACCCUGUGAAAAUUCUGGAAGCUGGUGUUGGACUUCACCUGCCUGAGGAGAGAGCAUAGCCAAGGCUUCUGGAUUUUAGAAUAUUCAUUUUAUGGAAAUACUUCUCCAAAUCCAAUACAGCAGGAAACUACUCGUAAAGAAAAUCUGAACUGUCCCACCACUCUGGUAUUUAUAGUUUUAGGGCAGUGACUUCUUUAAGGUAAGUUUCUAUCUGGUCACCACUUUGAAGAUACUUUGAAAAGAAAAUACUCUGCUAGAAUUAAUUUUAUGUUGUCCAUUCCUGUCUUGUGGCUCCUCAGGGAACACUGCCUAUGCCACUCAGGUGCUGAUGCCCAGCCGGUGCUCUGUGUUGGGUAUUAGCCAAGGGAAAAUGCAUUCUGGUCACAGAAUAUCAACAAAAAAGGUUUCCAACAAGCAAUCUCUAAUGAAGAUGGGGUGCAUGCGGACUGGUGUGCUAUGGCAGGUUCUCAUUAGAUGUAUUUUCUCUGGCUGCCACCAGUACUUGAAUUGUUGCUAGAAAAAAAAUAAUGAAAUUAAUGAAAGAAUGAGCAUAGUAUAUAACAGUUGUGAGACCUUUAUUUCCCCCACAGACUUGGCAGAAAAGCAGUAGAUCAAGGGAGAAAUGUCAAAUCAUGUCAACUUUGCCACCUCACCUUGAAUGAUUUUGAAAUGGUCUAUAAAAAGCAGAUUAUAUGAUAAACAAGUAUGAGUAACUUUAUAGUAAGCAUUUUCAAUGCUUUAAGUAUAUAAGCAUUGUUUAUAUACUGUAAAAGUAAAUAUUGAAAAUAACCAGAUGAGGUGUUUAUUGACACUUUUAUUCUAUAAGCAAAUCUUACUAACAAAUUUUACUGUUCCAAAUAAGAUUGUUUCCAAAAGGACCAAGGGUGUUGAGUGUUUAAAGUGAUAUAUUUUCAAAUAUCUGUAUGAGGAACUGGAGAAACCAUACAAUUAUUAAGAAUGCUUCCUGCACUUAGAGGUGUAUUUAUUUUCCAGAAACAGCUCCUGGGAAUAUGAUGCCCUCUUCUGGCCCUGGGGGGCACCUGCAUUCUUUAGCACAAAUCCACACAGACACACACACACAUGGUAUUAAUUUGAAAAUAAAUUUUAAAAAUUAUAUAUAUAUGUAUAUAUAUACAUAUAUGUAUAUAUGGACAUAUAUUGCCACCUUUAUUAGACUUAGUUCAACUAUGCAAAUGAACCUCAUUUUGUCCAGAAAAGAAUAACUCAACUUUGUUAUACUAUCAAUUUAGGAAUUUAAAAAUUGAAGCCACCUUUAAAAAAAAAUAGAAAAUGCCACAUCUUCAUUUUGUUUAAACUGCUACUACCAUGUGACCAGCGUUUUAAAAACAAAUGCUCUUAAAUAGAAGCUUAGUUAAAAAGAAAGAAGGAAAGGAAGAAAGAAAGACAGACAGAAAGAAAAAAAGAAAGAAAGAAGAGAAGAGAAAAAAUUGCCUUGUCUUUGACUAGCCAAUAUAAGUUAAAUUUUUAUUAUCUGCUUAAUUAUACAAUUAGUUAAUUGGUGGUGGCAGUUCUCAGCAUGUGGCCAUGCCUUAACAUAUUGUUUGUUAGAUGUUAGAAUCCUUUUCAUGCCUCUGCUUUUAACUGGAAAUCAUAUUUGGGUUUUGUUUUAAUGGAUAACUAGCUCUUUACAUAAAUAUGAAAAGAGUAAAUUGAAAUGGAAUUGGGAUGUAUUUAUGUCUUUAAUAAAUUUGAUUAGUGAUGUGACAAAAUAUAGUAUUUGUGACCUGAAAAAUAAACACUCUUUGAAAGUAUCUUGGUGUAAUCUGUUUAUCAUUGAAAUAUGGUUCCCAAACCCUGAGAGACACUAAAGGUAAACAUCUCAAACUGUACUCCUGUGCCUAGUUACUAAAUAAGUAUUCUGAGGUUCAGUGUAAAUGGCAUAUGUCUUAUAUCAUGAAAUAACAGAUUAAAAUACACAUGUAUGUUUUAAUUGGUUUCAUGUUACUCUUUUCUUCUCUAAAAGGGCAAUUUGGAAUGCAAACUAUCCAACUGUGCAAAAUAAAAGAUCAAUUUUCCUGA